GGCACAGUGGCUUAGUGGUUAGCACUGUUGCCCCGGGGGUUGGGGGUUCGAAUCCCGCCUCUGCCC